rnacentral:rRNA from 1 species
AUUGAACGCUAGCGGGAUGCUUUACACAUGCAAGUCGAACGAGUGGCGGACGGGUGAGUAAUAUAUCGGAACGUGCCCAGUAGCUGGGGAUACCUAAUCGAAAGAGUGGCUAAUACCGCAUACUAAUAGAGCGGCCGAUAUCGGAUUAGCUAGUUGGUGGGGUAAAGGCCUACCAAGACAACGAUCCGUAGCGGGUUUGAGAGGACGACCAGGAACACUGGGACUGAGACACGGCCCAGAGUCCCACGGGCGGCAGCAGUGGGGAAUUUUGGACAAUGGGGGAAACCCUGAUCCAGCAAUCCCGCGUGUAUGAGAAGGCCUUCGGGUUGUAAAGUCCUUUUGGCAGAGAAGCGGUAUCUGCAGAAUAAGCACCGGCUAACUACGUGCCAGCAGCCGCGGUAAUUC